CCGACGAUCUUCGACGACGAAGAGAGGACCGGAAGAAAAGACGGAAUGUCGGUGGUCGGAGAAGGGAAAGAGCAGUUCUUGCAGCGGUAGUGAGUGGUGCAAGGAGACCAGACGAAGCUGCUGGAAGUGUCGACGACAAAAGGUAAUGUCUGCGGCGGAGUGCCGAAUGAAAGAGAGAUUGAGUAUCCGCCGUAGAACGGCAAGGUCUGCGGCGGAGUGCCAAAGGAAAGAGAGAUUGAGUAUCCGCCGUAGCUGUGUGGGGUGAGCUGAGUUUUGACGGCGAAGUUAGAGGAAGAGGAGUGUUUGAUGUGGCGGGAUCUGGAGAGGGA
rnacentral:lncRNA from 1 species